GACAGUUCGGUCCCUAUCCGGCGCGGGCGUAGGAUAUUUGAGAGGAGCUGUCCUUAGUACGAGAGGACCGGGAUGGACCGGCCGCUGGUGAAUCUGUUGUUCCACCAGGAGCAUGGCAGAGUAGCCAAGCCGGGCGGGGAUAAACGCUGAAGGCAUCUAAGCGUGAAGCCCCCCUCAAGAUGAGAUAUCCCAUGAAGUUAAUUCAGUAAGACCCCUUGAAGACGACGAGGUAGAUAGGGCGGAGGUGGAAGUGCAGUAAUGUAUGUAGCUGACCGUCACUAAUAGGUCGAGGGCAUAACCAAG
rnacentral:rRNA from 1 species